UUGAGGCAUAUAUUAUUAUUGUUUGAUUGCCAUGAACCAUCCCCAUUCAUAACAAAUGUACCCCUCUCCCAUGAAGUGUAUAAUAUUUAUUAUUUCAUUCUUUAUUCAUCUGUUUAUGCAAGAAUUAAAACGAACAUCCGAUAAUCAUUUCAAAACAAGAUCAAAAGCUCGAUCCAACGUCGAGUAAUCAUUUUCAAAACUUAACAGAAC
rnacentral:lncRNA from 1 species